GAGUUUGAUCAUGGCUCAGGAUGAACGCUGGCGGCGUGCUUAACACAUGCAAGUCGAACGAAGCGCCUUAUUUGAUUUUCUUCGGAACUGAAGAUUUGGUGACUGAGUGGCGGACGGGUGAGUAACGCGUGGGUAACCUGCCCUGUACAGGGGGAUAACAAUCAGAAAUGACUGCUAAUACCGCAUAAGACCACAGCACCGCAUGGUGCAGGGGUAAAAACUCCGGUGGUACAGGAUGGACCCGCGUCUGAUUAGCUGGUUGGUGAGGUAACGGCUCACCAAGGCGACGAUCAGUAGCCGGCUUGAGAGAGUGAACGGCCACAUUGGGACUGAGACACGGCCCAAACUCCUACGGGAGGCAGCAGUGGGGAAUAUUGCACAAUGGGGGAAACCCUGAUGCAGCAACGCCGCGUGAGUGAAGAAGUAUUUCGGUAUGUAAAGCUCUAUCAGCAGGGAAGAAAGUGACGGUACCUGACUAAGAAGCCCCGGCUAACUACGUGCCAGCCGCCGCAGU
rnacentral:rRNA from 1 species